CGUGAAGGGACCCAAAUUGAAAUUAAAGUCAACAUGAUCUCUCUCUCUGUGUUCAUUUUGUGCUGAGAGAGGGGCACCAAUCGUCUCUAACUAUUUUCAACGCGUUUGCGUACUGUUCGCUCCGAAACAAUUCACCAUCCCUACUCUAUUCUCUCUAUACUAAACAGAUUCGUUCCAAAGAAUUCCCUGUUGGAAAAUGCCACCUCCAACUGUCCAAUUGCCACUGUCAUUUAUAUAAUAUAAACCAACACUGUCUUAUGGUUAUAACCAACAAAAGCUAUCCUACUACAUUGUCUUUGAACUAUAUUUUACCUCCAGCUAUAUAUGAUACACACAAACUACACAAUCUACAUUACGUAAUCCUGAUUAGAUAUCGUUCUACUUGUUUUUUUUUCUUUUUCUUUUCCUUUACUUCUGCGCAGAAAUAUUGCUUUUUGAAAUGUAUUUCCGGAAAUUGUUUCUCUCUCACACCUACCAUUAAUUUUCCUUGGUAUUGAGGUCCGGUUCCGGGAGAGCUUUGGUGCGCGCAAUGGUUGAGCGUUGUGAGAGUAUGGUGGAGGGAACCUGACGGAACCCGUCGAAACCAGCCGAACAGGCGAAACUAUUGAUCGUGAUACUGUACACUAAGAUUUACAUCCAAUAUCCAUAGGACAAUGGAUUUGAAAACAAUAGACAUCCAGAGAAUACAAUAUCCAAAGUGUACAUAGCGGAUAACCGACAUGAAUAGUAAUCCGUCAACUAUAUAUAUAGCGAAUUGCAGAGCUGGAAGAGAACGUCAAUGCGUAAUAAAUUACGUCCAUCCAAUUGGUAAUUAGAUUCCAGUCGGUUGGAGUUUCUAUAGCGCAACGUCGACUUGAUUAUCGAUUUUGUUCCCACCACCACCAUCAUCAUCAUCAUCAUCAUCACUUGGAACACAAAUGCCGGAGAGCUGCUGGCUGAAUAUGCUGGGAGAUCCAAUCAUAGUUCUGAAAAGCGUGAUUACCCGUACGGGGUAAGGGGAAAAGGCAGGAGGUAUUAAAACCGAGGAAGGGAAACAGCUACAAAGAACGUUGACCUGCCAUCAAGCAACCCUCUCCUUUCGUCCCGGAUUCACUGCCAGCUGCGCACAACUUUCUAAACUCGACUCGACAAUUUUGGUUCAAGACAUCUAGCGGUGGCGUCACAUAACUAGAGACACUUGGAACUCUGAUGAGACAACUUCCAAAGUGCAAGGAUAUGAAUUACGAAAAAAAUCAUCUAAUCGAUAUGAAAAAAGAAAUUUUCCACGCCAUCUGGUGGUGGCGUCCUCAACCACGGAUAAACAACAUAAAUUUCAAGAAAACUUUAAUGCUCGGUUGUAAAAUAAAAGCAUAAACGUAAAUGGACUCUUCCGUUUGGGAUAAUAUAUAUUUUGUUGGCGUUUUAAUGACAUUCAUAAAAGGUCAACGAGAAAUAAUGGUUACGAUAUUCCAAUGUGUAGAUUUGAAUCUAUAUUUUAUAUUCAUUGAAUUCAGUUUGUGACGCAUUUUGUGUGGAACUGGAACGAGAUAAGUUUCAGGCCGCUUGAAUUCUCAGUUAACGGAUGGAAUAUAUUAAAAUCCUCUCUCUCCCCGCUCAAGAAGCCACAACGACGUUUGUAAAGCGCUUAAUUAUACCUAUAUAUAUAUAUAGAUUUGUUCCACUCGUCAUGAAUACUGACAGCGAGAGCUUCGUUCCGUUAUUUUGCCUGAAAUAUCCCAGAGUAUUAUGCGGGAGGGGUUUUUGGAACGAGGUAUUAGUAAAGCGUGAGGGCGUGGCUUCGGGUUGUCCUUAGCAGCAGCAUUACAACGAUAUGAAGGUAUUUGUGUGUAGCAGUACUUCACAAGUAAAAAGGAUGAUGAUGAUAUUGGAAAAAUGAGUGGAAAUUUCCAAGCGCGCCUGCGUUGCAAGCCAUUUUUGUAAAUGUGUUGGUUUUACACAUAAGAAACAAAAAAAAAAAAAGAAACUUUUAGCUGUUUUCAGGCUUCUCUUUCUCGUUUAUAAUUUUACAACUUGCCUUGAACGUGUUCUAAGUUUUAUAAUUAGAAAACUAACACGUCAGCAGAUUUCAAGUUUACGUAAGAUUACUCCGAUAUCAUUGAUGUUGGAUGAGUCAUUAAUUUCUGAACAACCUUUUCUUUGUCUGACGGGUUUUUAUGCAUAGCAUAUGGUUGAAGGGGAUCCGAAACUGGAAUAUUUAUGACCCCACUUUUUUUAUGACCCGCUGCCAUAUAGUCAGCUAUAUAGUGUGACUGGCGGAUUUGGAGAUGAAAAGAAAGUGGAAAUUGGUGCUUGCGCCAGGGUUUGCCGUGGCUUUUGCUGACCUCACUGGCUCUGGUUGGUUGUUGCUAGGCAACGUAUCGUAGGUUACGGUUGUGCCAGUUAGGUUUUGCUGGUGCUCUAUCUACCUAUAUAUAGUUUUAUUCUCUAUAUAGUUGCUCGAUUCUCGAAAUUACUAACUACUACGCGGCAUUACGCCAACGCUGUUGCCAAAUUGCAUUAUAUAUUGAGAUUUGUUUCGCAAAAUUAUUCCGCUGAUUAGCACAAAAUUAAUUACUUUAUUGUAUUAUUUUUUUUUUGAUUACCAAGGUGAUUAAUAAUGACAUAUAUUUUAUACUUGAGAUAUUAUGUAUUUUUGAUGAUAUAUUCAAUUUAAAAUAUAUGUAUAUGUAAAUUUAUUGUUAGCGUCGUUUAGCGUCUCGACCAAUAUAUAAACACUUUUAUCCUUGGUA